AUGGGGCAUUAUCCUGCUGGACGUAUCAUCAGAAGAUGGCUCCACUGUGGUCAUAGAGGGAUGGACAUGGUCAGUAACAAUGCUCAGGUAAACAAUGGUUUGGCUCUGAUGCGUUGGGCAUUGAUGAACAGAAGAACGACCUCCAAUAGAGAAGUGUGGUCCCUCACUCCACAGAACAUGGUUCCUCUGCUCCAUGGCGUUGGCUGUACACUACACCAUGCUUGGUGAUAGAAGGUUGGCAUGUGGUUCCUGAAUGUAUUUACUACUCAAUUAUACCACUCACAGCUGAUGGUGGAAGAUCUAGGAAGGGAGACAUUUCAGGGACUGAUACGUAACAGCAGUGACUCCCUCUCUUACCUCAUGGUGGUAUUCAGUGAGCUCUAUAGAACGACCCAUUGUAUCACAAAUGUAUCACAAAAGAAAAAACUAAAGCAGCGUCUACAGGCAUUUUUUUUUUUUUUUUAGAUUUUCAAAAAACAUUCUUAAAGUGUAAAUACAAACUUGUGCGCUUGAGCGGUCUUCAGCUUCUGCUUGUGGAACUUUGCUGAGCGUGGUAUGGUUGCCUCGGCAGCUGUGGAGCCCAGCGUGGCCUGUGCCAGCUGCCGAGGCAACCAUACCACGCUCAGCAAAGUUCAACAUGAAGUUCCCAUUCAUCAGAAAAUGGAAUCUUGUUGAGCGUGGUAUGGUUGCCCAGAGAAGCAGGCCACGCUGGAACUCAAAAUUGUGUGGGCUCACAGGUUUGGACUUACUUAACCCCUUAAGGACUGAGCCCUUUUUCACCUUAAGGACUGAGCCCUUUUUCGCAAUUCUGACCACCGUCACUUUAAGCAUUAAUAACUCUAAAACGCUUUUACCGAAUAUUCUGAUUCUGAGGCUGUUUUUUUGUGACAUAUUCUACUUUAUUUUGGUGGUAAAUUUUUGGCGUUACUUGCAUCCUUUCUUGGUGAAAAAUCCCAAAAUUUCAUGAAAAUUUAGAAAAUUUUGCAUUUUUCUAACUUUGAAGCUCUCUGCUUGUAAGGAAAAUGGAUAUUCCAAUAUGUCACCUUUAUGUUGGCAUCAUAAAAUGGACAUAUUUUUACUUUUUGAAAAAAUUAGAGGGCUUCAAAGUAGAGCAGCAAUUUUCAAAAAUUUCAUGAAAAUUGCAAAAUCUGAAGGGACAGAAGUUACAGAACUACAACUCCCAGCAUGCCUCGGCGUUCUAGGCAUGCUGAGAGUUUUAGUUUGGCAACAUCUGGAGGGCUACCGUUUGGGCACCACUGUAACACUGCCUGACAUCCAGGGAUGGGCAGAACGGGGGGUUUCCAUGGCAACCCACUGUCCUGCCCUGCCAUUGGUCAGAACUCAGUUCUGACUAAUGGCAGGGGAUAGGAGGAGAUCGCAGCACUGCGACCUCACUCCUAUCCCUUGGGAUGAUCGGGGCUGUCACUGACAACUCCGAUCAUCCCUAUUUUCCGGGUGAUUGGGUCACCAGAGACCCGAUCAGCCCGGAAUUGGAGAAAAUGGCAUGUCUGAAUUGACAUGCAAUUUUCUCCGAUCGCCGA